UACGUAGGGUGCAAGCGUUAAUCGGAAUUACUGGGCGUAAAGCGUGCGCAGGCGGCUUUGCAAGACAGAUGUGAAAUCCCCGGGCUUACACUGGGAACUGCAUUUGUGACUGCAUGGCUGAGUAGUCGGGUCAGAGGGGGAUGGAAUUCCGCGUGUAGCAGUGAAAUGCGUAGAUAUGCGGAGGAACACCGAUGGCGAAGGCAAU
rnacentral:rRNA from 1 species